GUAUAGUUUAGCUGGUAAAUUAAAGUCAAGGUAAGAAUUCUUUGAUGUUUCUAGGGGACGAUAAGACCCUAGAAGCUUUAAAAAAGAAAAAUUUUUAGUUAUUAUAUAAGUUUUUUACUGGGGCGGUGUUAGUAUUUUAACUACUAAUAGUAAAGAUUGAUCCUUAAUAUGAAGAUUAUUCGGUUAAGUUACUCUAGGGAUAACAGUGCGGUAUUUUUGGAAAGGUCUUAUUAAUAAAAAUGUUCGUAACCUCGAUGUUGAAUUAAGAUGUCUACGUGGAGCAGUAAAUAUAGUAGAGGGUUUGUUCAACCUUUAUAGUCUUACAUG
rnacentral:rRNA from 1 species